UUGUGCAGCUAGGUCUCUUCUUUGCAGGCAUGGCAGUGAUAAUGGUCUCUCAUUACCCUGUAUGGUAUUUUCCACAAACUUUACCACAUGGGAACAAAGACGACUUAGCAGGUCGGUAUGGCUGAGAGAAGCACGACAGGUCACCAGUCAAAGUGAAACAAGUACAGCUGAGAAGCAUGAUGGAUGCUGAAGACCAGCAAGAUGCCUGAACUAAAUCCCUCAACACCAGAGGAUGAGAGCUAAUAAGGACCUGCAUCACUUCAUGUGAGAACCGGUCUUCGGAUCAGACUCAGUGUUGACUGCAGCGUGGCUUGGGUCUUAAAUCUGGUGGAUUUGACUCAUCAAAUGAAGUAACUCUGGGAUCCUGUGUGACAUCUUGUGACUGUGUAAUGGUCCAAGUCAUCACUCAUUGGAAAACUCUGGAGCUCAAAGAACAGAACCUGAACCACAGUUUGAAAUGUAUGAAGCGUACAUUUGUAAAGUACAGAAAACUUUAAGGUCUCAUAAUUCACAUUAUAGAGAAACAAAGUUUAUUAAACUAACAUGAACAGGAUUCCUGUUCUGGAGACUUUUAAGAUGUAAAACAAAUGUAGAGUUGUAUUUGUAGAUUGAACAGAAAUUGGGGAACUCUCACUUUAUUUGUUGUACUGUUGAGGACCAUUUGUUGAAAUAAAAUUCAGCACUGAA